rnacentral:rRNA from 1 species
AGCAGCCGCGGUAAUUCCAGCUCCAAUAGCGUAUAUUAAAGUUGUUGCAGUUAAAAAGCUCGUAGUUGAAUUUCGGGGUUAGUAGGUUGGUCGUGCCACUGGUAUGUACUGGUUCUACUGAUCCCUCCUUCUUGUAGAACCGUAAUGCCAUUCACUUGGUGUUGCGGGGAAACAGGACUGUUACUUUGAAAAAAUUAGAGUGUUUAAAGCAGGCUAACGCUUGAAUACAUUAGCAUGGAAUAAUGAAAUAGGACGUUCGAUCCUAUUUUGUUGGUUUCUAGGAUUGACGUAAUGAUUAAUAGGGAUAGUUGGGGGCAUUAGUAUUCAAUUGUCAGAGGUGAAAUUCUUGGAUUUAUUGAAGACUAACUACUGCGAAAGCAUUUGCCAAGGAUGUUUUCAUUAAUCAAGAACGAAAGUUAGGGGAUCGAAGACGAUCAGAUACCGUCGUAGUCUUAACCAUAAACUAUGCCGACUAGGGAUCGGAUGAAGUUAAUUUUUUAAUGACUCAUUCGGCGCCUUA